rnacentral:rRNA from 1 species
GACGAACGCUGGCGGCGUGCUUAACACAUGCAAGUCGAGCGAGAAAGCUCCUUCGGGAGCGAGUACAGCGGCGAACGGGUGAGUAACACGUGGGCAACCUGCCCAAGGGAGCGGGACAACCCGGGGAAACCCGGGCUAAUACCGCAUAACGCCUCAUGUCAUAAGGCGUGACGCCAAAAGGUAGCUUCGGCCUCCGCCCUUGGCUGGGCCCGCGGCGCAUUAGCUUGUUGGCGGGGUAACGGCCUACCAAGGCGACGAUGCGUAGCUGGUCUGAGAGGACGAUCAGCCACACUGGGACUGAGACACGGCCCAGACUCCUACGGGAGGCAGCAGUGGGGAAUUUUGGACAAUGGGCGAAAGCCUGAUCCAGCCAUGCCGCGUGCAGGAUGAAGGCCUUCGGGUUGUAAACUGCUUUUGUACGGAACGAAAAGGCUCUGGUUAAUACCUGGGGCUCAUGACGGUACCGUAAGAAUAAGCACCGGCUAACUACGUGCCAGCAGCCGCCGUAAAAC